rnacentral:rRNA from 6 species
AAUCCAUAGGUUAAUGAGGCGAACCGGGGGAACUGAAACAUCUAAGUACCCCGAGGAAAAGAAAUCAACCGAGAUUCCCCCAGUAGCGGCGAGCGAACGGGGAGGAGCCCAGAGCCUGAAUCAGCAUGUGUGUUAGUGGAAGCGUCUGGAAAGGCGCGCGAUACAGGGUGACAGCCCCGUACACAAAAGCGCAUGUGCUGUGAGCUCGAUGAGUAGGGCGGGACACGUGGUAUCCUGUCUGAAUAUGGGGGGACCAUCCUCCAAGGCUAAAUACUCCUGACUGACCGAUAGUGAACCAGUACCGUGAGGGAAAGGCGAAAAGAACCCCGGCGAGGGGAGUGAAAAAGAACCUGAAACCGUGUACGUACAAGCAGUGGGAGCACCCUUUG